rnacentral:tRNA from 1 species
GGGUUUAUAGUUUAAUGGUUAAAACAAAUUCAUCAGAAGGAUUAAAUUAAAGGUUCAAACCCUUUUAAACCCA